rnacentral:rRNA from 1 species
UACGUAGGGUGCAAGCGUUAAUCGGAAUUACUGGGCGUAAAGCGUGCGCAGGCGGUUUUGUAAGUCAGAUGUGAAAUCCCCGGGCUUAACCUGGGAACUGCGUUUGAAACUACAAGGCUAGAGUGUGGCAGAGGGGGGUGGAAUUCCACGUGUAGCAGUGAAAUGCGUAGAGAUGUGGAGGAACACCGAUGGCGAAGGCAGCCCCCUGGGUUAACACUGACGCUCAUACACGACAGCAUGGGGAGCGAACGGG